rnacentral:rRNA from 1 species
GAUGAACGCUGGCGGCGUGCCUAAUACAUGCAAGUCGAGCGAACGGACGAGAAGCUUGCCUUUCUGGUGUUAGCGGCGGACGGGUGAGUAACACGUGGAUAACCUACCUAUAAGACUGGGAUAACUUCGGGAAACCGGAGCUAAUACCGGAUAAUAUUUUGAACCGCAUGGUUCAAAAGUGAAAGACGGUCUUGCUGUCACUUAUAGAUGGAUCCGCGCUGCAUUAGCUAGUUGGUAAGGUAACGGCUUACCAAGGCAACGAUGCAUAGCCGACCUGAGAGGGUGAUCGGCCACACUGGAACUGAGACACGGUCCAGACUCCUACGGGAGGCAGCAGUAGGGAAUCUUCCGCAAUGGGCGAAAGCCUGACGGAGCAACGCCGCGUGAGUGAUGAAGGUCUUCGGAUCGUAAAACUCUGUUAUUAGGGAAGAACAUAUGUGUAAGUAACUGUGCACAUCUUGACGGUACCUAAUCAGAAAGCCACGGCUAACUACGUG